rnacentral:rRNA from 1 species
AGAGUUUGAUCAUGGCUCAGAUUGAACGCUGGCGGCAGGCCUAACACAUGCAAGUCGAGCGGUAGCACAGAGAGCUUGCUCUCGGGUGACGAGCGGCGGACGGGUGAGUAAUGUCUGGGAAACUGCCUGAUGGAGGGGGAUAACUACUGGAAACGGUAGCUAAUACCGCAUAAUGUCGCAAGACCAAAGUGGGGGACCUUCGGGCCUCAUGCCAUCAGAUGUGCCCAGAUGGGAUUAGCUUGUAGGUGGGGUAACGGCUCACCUAGGCGACGAUCCCUAGCUGGUCUGAGAGGAUGACCAGCCACACUGGAACUGAGACACGGUCCAGACUCCUACGGGAGGCAGCAGUGGGGAAUAUUGCACAAUGGGCGCAAGCCUGAUGCAGCCAUGCCGCGUGUGUGAAGAAGGCCUUCGGGUUGUAAAGCACUUUCAGCGGGGAGGAAGGCGAUAAGGUUAAUAACCUUGUCGAUUGACGUUACCCGCAGAAGAAGCACCGGCUAACUCCGUGCCAGCAGCCGCGGUAAUACGGAGGGUGCAAGCGUUAAUCGGAAUUACUGGGCGUAAAGCGCACGCAGGCGGUCUGUCAAGUCGGAUGUGAAAUCCCCGGGCUCAACCUGGGAACUGCAUUCGAAACUGGCAGGCUAGAGUCUUGUAGAGGGGGGUAGAAUUCCAGGUGUAGCGGUGAAAUGCGUAGAGAUCUGGAGGAAUACCGGUGGCGAAGGCGGCCCCCUGGACAAAGACUGACGCUCAGGUGCGAAAGCGUGGGGAGCAAACAGGAUUAGAUACCCUGGUAGUCCACGCCGUAAACGAUGUCGAUUUGGAGGUUGUGCCCUUGAGGCGUGGCUUCCGGAGCUAACGCGUUAAAUCGACCGCCUGGGGAGUACGGCCGCAAGGUUAAAACUCAAAUGAAUUGACGGGGGCCCGCACAAGCGGUGGAGCAUGUGGUUUAAUUCGAUGCAACGCGAAGAACCUUACCUGGUCUUGACAUCCACAGAACUU